rnacentral:rRNA from 1 species
CGGAGGGUGCAAGCGUUAUCCGGAUUCACUGGGUUUAAAGGGUGCGUAGGUGGGUAAGUAAGUCAGUGGUGAAAUCUCCGGGCUUAACCCGGAAACUGCCAUUGAUACUAUUUGUCUUGAAUACUGUGGAGGUCAGCGGAAUAUGUCAUGUAGCGGUGAAAUGCUUAGAUAUGACAUAGAACACCAAUUGCGAAGGCAGCUGGCUACACAAAUAUUGACACUGAGGCACGAAAGCGUGGGGAUCAAACAGGAUUAGAUACCCUGGUAGUCCACGCCCUAAACUAUGGAUACUCGACAUUUGCGAUAAACUGCAAGUGUCUGAGCGAAAGCAUUAAGUAUCCCACCUGGGAAGUACGAUCGCAAGAUUG